rnacentral:rRNA from 1 species
CGAACUGCCGUUGACAAACGGAGGAAGUGGGGAUGACGUCAAAUCAUCAUGCCCCUUAUGUCUGGGCUACACACGUGCUACAAUGGCCGGUACAACGAGUUGCGAGUCGGUGACGGCGAGCUAAUCUCUUAAAGCCAAUCUCAGUUCGGAUUGUAGGCUGCAACUCGCCUACAUGAAGUCGGAAUCGCUAGUAAUCGCGGAUCAGCACGCCGCGGUGAAUACGUUCCCGGGCCUU